AUCCUCCCCAAAUCUCCAAGUUAGGUCACACUCUCUCUCGAUCUUCAAGAGGUAAGAGUCGAUCUUGAGCUCAUUCUAUGUUUUAAACAAGUUUUAAGAGGAUUCAUGGGGUAGAAAUGCAUGUUUAGUUUAGUUGAGCAUUGUUAGGUUUUUAUGUGAGUUUUGGACAAUGUAGGUUGCUGAGUUGCUUGUUUUGUGUUGUUGUUGGGGUUUAGGUUAGUUUGAGACCCCUAUGUGUUGUUGUAUGUGUAUAUGCAUGAUUUGAGAGGGUUGGAUGCAUGUUUGGAAGUUUGGGA
rnacentral:lncRNA from 1 species